UUAUAUUUUAUAUUUAUUAAUAAUUGUAUUUUUGUUACUUGAAUAUGAAAAAUUUACUCUUUUUUUUUUUUUUUGAGAAAUAGGUAGCAAGCUACCUGCUUCAUUCAUUAAGUUAAAUGAACUGAGCGUACAUGUUGGAAGCAGCUAAGGCUUCCGAGAUACAUGCAAAAAAUUGGAGGGGGGGUGACAAGCAAAAGAUGAGGGCGGAGGCAGGGGAAGAAAAGAAA
rnacentral:lncRNA from 1 species